rnacentral:rRNA from 1 species
UACGUAGGCAGCAAGCGUUGUUCGGAGUUACUGGGCGUAAAGGGUGUGUAGGCGGUUUUUUAAGUUUGGUGUGAAAUCUCCCGGCUCAACUGGGAGGGUGCGCCGAAUACUGAAAGACUAGAGUGCGGGAGAGGAAAGGUGGAAUUCCUGGUGUAGCGGUGAAAUGACGUAGAUAUCAGGAGGAACACCGGUGGUGUAGACGGCUUUCUGGACCGUAACUGACGCUGAGACACGAAAGCGUGGGUAGCAAACAGG